CCGCUGAGUUACUCCAGCACUUGAUGUCCUUUUGUGUAUUAACCAGCAUCUGCAGUUCCUUCUUUCGACAUUACUGAUUUAAACCCCAGCACAGGGAUCCUCGUGUGUGUCCUGACAAAUUGCCUGACAAGUAGCCACAUUGACCCUGCCUAUUGGCGAGCGGAUUUCUGACAAACUCACGACCGGCGGAUUGCUGUGAAAUCGAGGGGCCAAAUCCGACGUGAAGCAGCCCAGUUAGUCGUAGUUAGUUCGCGCCCUAGUCACAGACUGUACGGGAAUUCCACGUGGAGAGGGGAGCCAACUCUCACUGGAAUUCGGAACCGAAGUCCCUCGGGAAAAGGACGAGGGACGCUCCCUUUGAUCAUUUCAAGACUUUCAGUGUCGGAACACACAUUGGGGAACUUGAAGCAAUGACUGAUAAUUCCUUAGCGAACUCUGACCGAUCACCAGACGCGACCCAGUGGGCCACUGAGCUGCUUGAAAUUCCCAAGUCCGUUGUGAAGGCCUCGGGAGGUCUCAGGAAAGGACUAAACGCAGCCAAAUAGCUUCGCAUGCCACACAGGGGGACGGAGAGGUUUCCAGUCACCGGGAAAACCAAGAGACAUGGAGUGGCCAGUUUGUGACGGCACGGUGUGAGGAACAAGAUGAUUUGGUAUAUUACCCCGUCUUUACACCAGCUGAUGAAUCAACACCUGCUGCAUGAUGUGGGAUGAAAUAACUCAUUCUGAAUCGAUGUGUCGAUACAUGUUGAGAAAAACCUGAACUACAAGAGUAGAAUUGGAAGAAAAUAAACAGGUACAUAAACCCAUUGGAAAAAGUGGAUCCCACACAUGCUGUUUCUGCUACUAUGUUAAGACAGAACCCAAUCCUGUUCUGUAACUAAUAUUCAAGCACCAUUUCGAAAUGUAUGUGAUCUAAUUUUGAUGAUAUUGUUUUCCUCCUCACCUUGUGAAGGCCAAGGUAUUUUUAUUUUCAUUUUAUUUUUAGUUAAUUUUACACAAAAUGUGGAGGACAUGUGCAUCACAAGGGAAUAAAUUUAAAUUUAUAUAGAUGUUCUUACUAUUCCAAUCACACAAUAUGCCUAUUACAUAUAAUUUGAACCAUUGAAAAUACCAGAUAAUUAAUUUGGGCUGCAAAUAUCCCAACUAAAAUUUAACUUGUGGGGUCAACGAUCAAUUGUGGGCAGUGAAUACUGUUCUGAUACUGUGGAUUUAAUCUUGUGGGUAAAUUGUUCAAAUAUCUAUUUUUGUAUAUAUGAUAUAUGUUUUAUAACAAAUGAUUGAGUUUACUCGUGAUAUGUUAAUUAUUAAAGCUAUAGGGUUUUAGUUUAAUUGAUUUCAACUUCUUUGGAAGACCUGUUCAGUGUGACAGUGGUAAAUAUUUCAGUGAGAAAUUCAGUUGCAUUUUAACAUGCUAUGAUUUGUUGGUGAGACCUAAUGCAUCUUUUCAAAUUAUCAAUGCACUUUUGUCAGAUCAUUGUAUCAUUGUAAUUAAAGACAUCUACCUCA